rnacentral:rRNA from 1 species
CAGCAGUCAAGAAUAUUAGUCAAUGCUCGCAAGAGUGAACUAGCUAACUGAAAUUUUUGAUGUGUCAUCAAAAAUAACGUAAGGGAAAAUAAUGAUAAUACCUUACUAUUAGUGUCGUCCAAGUGCUCGUGCCAGAAGACUCGGUAAGGCGAGAGACGCAAACGUUAUUCGUCUUGAUCAGGCGUAAAGGGUGUGUAGGCAGUUUUAAGUAUUCAAUAUUAAGUUUACUAUUAUAAAACUAAUAAAAACAAAAAGUUUUAUAAUUUUAUAACAAAAUCAAUUAAAGCUAGAAUCUAACAGAGGUUAAAACAAUACUUAUGGUAGGUGUACCAACCUAAGAUAAUAAGUAGAGUUUUAAGGGCGAAGGCAUUUACCCACUAAAGAUUGACGCUGAGAAACGAAGGUGAGGAAAGAAAAAAGGAUUAGAGACCCUUGUAUCCCUCACUGUCAACGAUGAAUGGUAGUUACUAGUAAGAAAUAAACUAAAGGCGAUGUUAACACGUAAACCAUUCCGCCUUGUGAGUACAACUGCAAAGUUGAAAACAAAAAAAUUAGUCGGUUUCGGAGCAAACGAAGUGAAGCAUGUUAUUUAAUUCGAUAAUCCGC